GUGUUUGUCGGUGUGUAUGUGUGUGUGUGCCUGUGCGUCUCUGCUCACUGUUAAGUAAUACUCUUUCGAUAAUCUCCCCACCGUCCAAGUUAAAGCGUUUGAUAUGAGAUUACAGCAAGUGGAAACACAUGUUGGCACUCGUGGAUGUGGGGCUGGCGGCAGUGUUGGUGGUGGUGUUGUCGGUGUUGGUGAUAAGAACCAAGAAAUGUUUGUUGCCUGCUGCGGUUGGCGCGCCGCGGCUCUACUGGCAUUGUCUUGUGCCUUGCAUUGACACUAACAUUUCCAUAUUUUGAAAUUGAUUCUCUUAGUAAUGAAGAGAACAAAGCAGGCCGACGACACUGUUGCCAUCGACACUUGAAACAAUUUGCCGUGACAGAGCGAAAGCCACGAAGAGAGUGAGAGGAAGUAAAGUAUCAUCACAAAGCUCUUAAAAUGUGGUUUUGUAGCCAAAAAAUGAUUUCUUUCUCAAUCCACAAAAAUAUUGAAUCGCAACAUCACCAACACUCUGAGUUGGUAACUAACUACCCGGGAGGACGUGACAGAUUGUUUAUAAAAUAAAUUUUGUGGCGGUUGUGUGAUUUUGUUUAUAAAAAAGUGCAAUAUUUCGGAUCAAAUGUAAUACCUAUUCUACAAAAUUUAAGGGAACUUUUCCACCAACGGAUGACAGCUAAAAAUAUCUUAAAUCGGGAUGUGUACAAAAGCCUGAAUCGAAACCAGAUCAAAUCCAAACUAUUUACACAUGAAAAUAAAAUUUUCAAAAUUGAUAUGAUUAUUGUUGAACCAGUUGAUUGCUUAGGUCUGGAGUAUUCCCUCAUUGGCUUAACUUCAUAAGUGACCAAAUGACCAUUCGCCGGUAUGAAAUCAUGAUAUUGGUAAAGAUCGGCAAAUAUUGAAAGGCUGUCAGUUUCGUUUUUAAAAGCAUUACUCUUUGUAAAAGCGCCAAUAAUAUAUUAAUACUCUAGACUUAAGAAAUAUAAAUUUAAAAUUUAAAUAAGUCUCACACUAA